GGAUGUGAGGGCGAUCUGGCUGCGACAUCUGUCACCCCAUUGAUCGCCAGGGUUGAUUCGGCUGAUCUGGCUGGCUAGGCGGGUGUCCCCCUCCUCCCUCACCGAUCCAUGUGCGUCCCUCCCGAAGCUCGGUGGAAGAGGACGACCUUCCCCCCACCCCCUCCCCAGGAGAGGACCGGUCUUUGGUCAAGGGUAUACGCUCCCCUGCUAGAACCUCCAAACAAGCUCUCAAGGUCCAUUUGUAGGAGAACGUAGGGUAGUCAAGCUUCCAAGACUCCAGACACAUCCAAAUGAGGCGCUGCACGUGGCAGUCUGCCUUCCUUU
rnacentral:snRNA from 1 species